CUCAACAGCGAACUGUGAGUCAUAUUCCGGAGGCAAUGCUAAUAAAUGAGUAAUAGUAUUCGUUUACUAAUGCAUGUAGACUCCGUCGUGUUUCAUCUGUUUACCUUCUUCGAACUUUUCUAGCUUAGGUAGUUCAUGCAAAUAUCUAAGCCAUGUCAAAAAUACAACCUAAUCUUUAGCAUAAAAAGCACAUCUAGAGACGGAAAACUGGCUAAAUAUAAAAUGGCUUUAAUUUUUGUUAUGUGUGUAAUUUACAGAUACGCCGGAUUCUUUAUGGUAAAAUGCUAAAAAGAUAUAAACUCAAAUAGGAUUCUAAGUUUUCCGUUUAUUUUGAGUAUAUAAAAUUUGUGUUUCGUAUUGUCACUUUUUUGAGAUUAUAAAAACUAAAUACGUAUGCGUUCUGCGGUCAAUGGUGUUGUUUUGAUUAAAUAUGUUCAGUUAGCUAGUUGGCAGCAGCAAUAUUUUCAUAUGCUCAAUCAUUGGCGAAUUCGCUUUUUCUCAAACAAGCGAAGUAUAGUUUGGUUUAUUUUUAGCUUAUUAAAACGUGGAGAAGUGAUCUUGGUAUCAUUGAAGCUUCAAUCGAGUUGCCAGCAUAUUGAAAUUACUGAUAAGGUGCUCGCUUAGUUGUUUAAUCUGGAUUGAGUGAAACUGAUAAGCCUUUGAUAACCAGAAACGGCAGCUGUUUGAUAAAGCGUAGUCCAAGUCAUUGACAUCAUCAAUCAACAUGAACAACCCAAAAGCGACCCUACAAGACUAAAAUAAAACACUGGCACGCUUGGUGACUAACCUACGACAAGAGCGGAUAGACAGUAAACAAUAACAACAUGAACGCAGCAGUCCCGCAGCAGCAGCUUACACCGCCUGAAAACUAACUAAAAACCUGAAAUUUCGCCUGCCAAAACAAAGAGAACCAAUUGCUUAAAGGGGCCCCAGGCAUGCCAAGCGCACACCAAGACAAUAGUGCAAUGGGAAGAAAACCAGAUUCUUCAUCAUAAUUUGGGGUCUGGGGCUCUGUCUCCAGCUGAGACGAAUAUAAGAGUAUAUACACAAAAAAAAAAGAAAAGCGUUUUUGCAGAUAAUCGCCAAUUGUUCUGUGCUCCUUUUGCUCUUCAAAGCUUAACAUCACAAACCGACCGGAUCUAACAAUUCUACUUUACAAAUGUGGAUAAUCAAAUAUGUAUUAUUUAUUCUAAUUUACAUUCAAUGUAUGUUUAUUGUUCCCAUAGGGUUUCGCACGGAUUCAAUAGCUGACUAACAACAAAGUUUGUAUAAGGAGCGCGGCCGAUCCGAAAUAUAGCUAAGUUAACACAUAUUGUUGCAAGUAUUCUCUGCUGUUACACAUACAUAUGCAUUUGCUCUUGCGAGAUGCGCUUUUGAUCCACUUGCAAACACUCUGGAGUCCUUUGCAACUUAUACAUCAGACUCUGGAAAGGAAUUUGGGUUAACAUGGGAACCGACCGCAACUCAGGCAACAAAUAAUGCAAGCACAUAUGAAUCAAGUUGUAUGAAAAAAGUAUAAAAUGAACUCGACGGCAAUAAUUGCAGUAUAUGCUGACAGUCAUCUAUUAGACUGUAGACCUGUAAGCUGUUACAGAGAUGUACAAAAUUACAAUAUUUUCAAAGCCAUAGACAGCGAGAAAAGUGAUUAAAAAUACACCGACGACGAUGACGGAGCCGCAGCCAGG